AGCGGUUUACCCGUGGAGCUGAAAUCAGUCGAAGAUACCAGCUGGCUGCAACUGUUUAUUAAAAACACAGCACUGUGCAAACACGAAAGUGGACGUAUACGGUGUGACGCCUGCCCGGUGCCGGAAGGUUAAUUGAUGGGGUCAGCGCAAGCGAAGCUCCUGAUCGAAGCCCCGGUAAACGGCGGCCGUAACUAUAACGGUCCUAAGGUAGCGAAAUUCCUUGUCGGGUAAGUUCCGACCUGCACGAAUGGCGUAAUGAUGGCCAGGCUGUCUCCACCCGAGACUCAGUGAAAUUGAACUCGCUGUGAAGAUGCAGUGUACCCGCGGCAAGACGGAAAGACCCCGUGAACCUUUACUAUAGCUUGACACUGAACAUUGAGCCUUGAUGUGUAGGAUAGGUGGGAGGCUUUGAAGCGUGGACGCCAGUCUGCGUGGAGCCGACCUUGAAAUACCACCCUUUAAUGUUUGAUGUUCUAACGUGGACCCGUAAUCCGGGUUGCGGACAGUGUCUGGUGGGUAGUUUGACUGGGGCGGUCUCCUCCUAAAGAGUAACGGAGGAGCACGAAGGUUGGCUAAUCCUGGUCGGACAUCAGGAGGUUAGUGCAAUGGCAUAAGCCAGCUUGACUGCGAGCGUGACGGCGCGAGCAGGUGCGAAAGCAGGUCAUAGUGAUCCGGUGGUUCUGAAUGGAAGGGCCAUCGCUCAACGGAUAAAAGGUACUCCGGGGAUAACAGGCUGAUACCGCCCAAGAGUUCAUAUCGACGGCGGUGUUUGGCACCUCGAUGUCGGCUCAUCACAUCCUGGGGCUGAAGUAGGUCCCAAGGGUAUGGCUGUUCGCCAUUUAAAGUGGUACGCGAGCUGGGUUUAGAACGUCGUGAGACAGUUCGGUCCCUAUCUGCCGUGGGCGCUGGAGAACUGAGGGGGGCUGCUCCUAGUACGAGAGGACCGGAGUGGACGCAUCACUGGUGUUCGGGUUGUCAUGCCAAUGGCACUGCCCGGUAGCUAAAUGCGGAAGAGAUAAGUGCUGAAAGCAUCUAAGCACGAAACUUGCCCCGAGAUGAGUUCUCCCUGAGACUUAAAGUCUCCUGAAGGAACGUUGAAGACGACGACGUUGAUAGGCCGGGUGUGUAAGCGCAGCGAUGCGUUGAGCUAACCGGUACUAAUGAACCGUGAGGCUUAACCUUACAACGCCGAAG
rnacentral:rRNA from 1 species